UGGGGAAUAUUGGACAAUGGGCGAAAGCCUGAUCCAGCGAUGCCGCGUGCGUGAUGAAGGCCUUCGGGUUGUAAAGCGCUGUCGGGAGGGACGAAAGCUUCGGCUUGACGGUACCUCGCAAGAAAGCACCGGCUAACUCCGUGCCAGCAGCCGCGGUAAUACGGAGGGUGCAAGCGUUGCUCGGAAUCACUGGGCGUAAAGCGUACGCAGGCGGCUUGUUAAGUCGGGUGUGAAAUCCCUGGGCUCAACCCAGGAACUGCAUCCGAAACUGGCAAGCUUGAGUAUGGGAGAGGGAAGUGGAAUUCCUGGUGUAGAGGUGAAAUUCGUUGAGAUCAGGAGGAACACCGGCGGCGAAGGCGGCUUCCUGGCCCAUUACUGACGCUCAUGUACGAAAGCGUGGGGAGCAAACAGG
rnacentral:rRNA from 1 species